rnacentral:rRNA from 1 species
UCGGAGAGUUUGAUCCUGGCUCAGGACGAACGCUGGCGGCGUGCCUAAUACAUGCAAGUCGAGCGGACUGAUGGGAGCUUGCUCCCUGAUGUCAGCGGCGGACGGGUGAGUAACACGUGGGUAACCUGCCUGUAAGACUGGGAUAACUCCGGGAAACCGGGGCUAAUACCGGAUAGUUCUUUUCCUCGCAUGAGGAAGAGUGGAAAGGUGGCUUUUAGCUACCACUUACAGAUGGACCCGCGGCGCAUUAGCUAGUUGGUGAGGUAACGGCUCACCAAGGCAACGAUGCGUAGCCGACCUGAGAGGGUGAUCGGCCACACUGGGACUGAGACACGGCCCAGACUCCUACGGGAGGCAGCAGUAGGGAAUCUUCCGCAAUGGACGAAAGUCUGACGGAGCAACGCCGCGUGAGUGAUGAAGGUUUUCGGAUCGUAAAGCUCUGUUGUUAGGGAAGAACAAGUGCCGUUCAAAUAGGGCGGCACCUUGACGGUACCUAACCAGAAAGCCACGGCUAACUACGUGCCAGCAGCCGCGGUAAUACGUAGGUGGCAAGCGUUGUCCGGAAUUAUUGGGCGUAAAGCGCGCGCAGGCG